GGCAUAUAUGUUUAUCUGCUUCUGCUACUGAUCCAAAUUGCAGAACUCAUUCCUCCCCGAGGCCUGCAAGCAGUAACCAAUUGUGUAUUUAUGGGAAAAGUUGGAGAUGGUGACCUUGAUUAGAAUGUGUCUGGAGAGGAUGAUAGGAGACAGUUGGUUACGAAAGAUGUUGAAGUCUUGAAUACUACCUCUAUGUGAGGAAAGGAUAGAAAACGUUCAGACAUCAUCAUCCAGUACCAGUAGCAGUGACACCUACACGGAAGACUUGGAACUGCAAACAGAUGCUGGGGUCACCUCAGUGACAUCUGACGCUGUCCAACCAGAAGUUCGAUUUUUGUUUUGAGGGGUGAGGAAGCUGACUGUACUAACGGAUUAAAAUAAUUUCUUGACUGCA